rnacentral:lncRNA from 1 species
UUUUUUAUUACCCACAAUCCCUUGCAUAAUUCACUUUUUCGUAACUUUUCACAUUUGAAACGUUAGUGUACACCAGGUUAGGCUGUGUAUCAUGUGUAUCUAUAAUGGAAAAUAUUCAAGUGAACAAUGAGGUUUAUGACAAGCCUGGCAGAGAGAGGUUUUUCAGAGGAAAGUAUCAAGGUCAAGAUAUGAUAAGUGAUUCAGAGGAAGGCGUUCUGGUGGAUGACUGGCUGACAUCCAAACAAGAUCUAUUGGACACAUCAGAUGAAGAGCUGAAUGAUGACCUUUUGUGUAGCGAUGAUGAGAACGAAACUAUGAGAUGUCACAAUGAAAGCAUUCCUAAACCAAAACUGCAGGCGACUGCAAAGCCUUACCUUGUUUGUGGAACUCCACACCUUGCUGAAGACCAAGCCAGAUGUCCUAAAGAAGAGGUGGAGGUUGACCCUGGUGAAGUUUUAGACAUCGAAAUCAAUGCUCCUUCUGGAGAUGAAUUUCAACAGGAGGUUGCUGACUACAGUGACCAUCAGCAGGCUGACAUAAAGAUGGAUGUUAAGGGUUGUAUUAAAGUGGUGUCCAGUUUACCCAUGCCCGAGUCAAGAGAGGGUGGAUCUGAGUUGCGAGAGGGUCUGUCUCCUCAGCCCUCUGGGCGUCAUCUCACACGCUCCUGCAGGGGACAGCCUGCCCCAGAGGAAACCGUCACUGGACCCUCCCGCAGUCCUGAGCCAGUGUUCCCAGGACAGCAUAUGUUUGAUCAACAACACUCUGCUUCAGUCUUGGACACUAAUCCGCUCCUAGCUGGACCUACUCCCAUGGGCUCCAUUCAGCCUCCGGGAAAUGAGAGUGACCCCUGGAGGCCCAGUCUAGCUUUGCAGGGGCCCACGGAUCUGUCAAAGCCUGGGACUCCCCACCGUGGGCAAAAGCCUCUCCAGAAACAUCCAUCAGCUCAGUCUGGCUGCUCCUUAACUGCUCCCUCUGGACCACAGGCACAGAAACCUGCUGUGCUGGUAAGAGCUGUUGCCAGGAUGGUGCACAGUGCCAAGCCAAUGGCUGUUGCCAGGGGGAUGCCCAUUGCUGCAAGGCAGCCAGCAAGUGCCAAGUCUAAGAUAUCUGCCAAAACUCCACCAGCGCCAGGGAUGGUGGGAAGAAAUGUGGGUCAGAAGGUCAAGGUGCAGCCCCAAACUCCUCCAGCUACUCAAAAACUUCCCGCAAAGCCGCUAAACAUGACAAACAACAAAGAGUGGGAAGAGGAGGCGUUCUACAUGGAGAGGCUGCGGGAGCAGAUGCGACUGAGGGAGCAGGUUAUCAAACAGAAGGAACGGAUGAGAUCUAGAUGGGCCGCAAACAAGAAGCAUCUGCGGCAGGAGCGAUUCCAAACUGAUAGUUCCACCGGACACUGGAACAACAACCAAAAUCAACAGACACAGCCGUGUGUCUUGGGUUCUUGCCCUUGGAAGGUUACGCACCAGCAGCCCUUCCAUGAUCCGCCUCACUGUCUUUUCCUGGAGCGCCAUCCAGAAAUCCAGCCCUUGCCUUCACAGCAGCACCAGUACCAGGUUGUAGUACCCCCACUUCAGCCACCAUGGCAACAAGCUCCACUGACACAAGGGAAUCCAUCAGGCCAUGCAGCAGAGCUCCAGCAUUAUCAGUCUCAUCAGAGGGGCACAGACAGGGUGGUGUUACAAGGAAUGGGGCAAGUCCCAGAUCAGAUGAACCAACAGUACAGUAUAGAUGAAGUCUGGCGAGGACACAAGAGCAAGUGUGAGCUGAGAACUUCUUACGGGCCUGUUCCCACCAAAAUAAGAGUGGUCAAACACCUCAACCCAGUUAGUGUGAGUUGUGAUCUUACACCACAGAUUAGCGAAGAGACUAACGCAGUGACUAAAACGAAGCCCAGAAUUGUCACCUUCAGAAUGCCUGAUUCAUCACCACCUUCAUUUCUGCAACAGAGUCUCAAGUUAAACUGUCCCAAACAGGGAAAGGGAUGUGGCCCAAACCAGCCCCAGGAUGAGGUGGCAGUCAGGGGAAACCAACCCAGCGCUUUCAUACCCUUCAGUUCCGGCCUGAGAACAGAGUCUGUUACUGCUCAAACCCAUGUCAACUUUAUUGUAAGACUAAACCACUGAACAUCUUGGAAAUCAAGCCUUAUCCAACAAAAUGUUGAGUAGAAAAUGUUCAAUGUUCUCACAGGUUUGGCAGCGUUUUUGUUAUGAUGCAAUAUUUGCCUUUUUUGUGAUUGUUGAAGACAGUGGUUUGGCAUUUUGCUCCUUGGUUUCCAUUAAAUACCUACACUGCUUGCAUGUUCCUGCGUGGCUGUUCAUGUCAUUUAGCAAGAAAUCCUUGAAUUUGUUUGUUAUUUGAUAUAUUGAUACUUUUAUACAGUUAAUCUCACUAUUAUUCCCCAUAAAUGUUUUUCAAUUUUAGUUAAGUUUUGUCUCUGUGGAAUGUGCAGAUAAAUAAGACUUAUAAAAACAAAGGUGGCAUCAUGAUGAUGAAUUAUAGCCUGUUGAUAACUGCCAGUAAUGUUUUAAUAAGCAUUAAAGGUAUAGUUCACCCAAAAAUGAAAAUUCUCCCAUUGUUCACUCACCUUCAAGUUGUUCCAAACCUACAAAAGAAGCUAUUUUGAAGAAUGUGGGAAACUGAACAUUUGUUGCUAUUGACUUCCAUAGUAGGAUGAAAUACUAUGCAAGUCAAUGGGGACCAUCAACUGUUCAGUUACCCAUAAUCAUCAUCUUCUUUUUAUUUUUUGCUUUUAUUUGGUUCAUCUUCAGUCAGACAGAAAGUAACUAAAAGGUAAAUAUAGUAAUAUGAAUAAUAUAUAGUUACCCGUAUUCUUCAAAAAAAUCUUUUGUGUGUAUUUGUUAUAAAAGAAAUUCGUACAGGCUUAGAACAACUUGAGUGAGUAAAUUAUGACAGAAUUUUCAUCUUUCUGACAGAAGUCUGCCUUUGCAAAAUGUUAUACUCAUGCAGAUGUCCAGCACCAUCUAGUGGCCAAUUUGUUUGAUCCUUUUCAGUCAAUUAAUAAAUUGGACUUGACAGUGCUUUGAAAAAGCUGUGAAUUCUUGUUUAAUCGCAAUUCUUAAGUAAUUUAAGAAUUUAAAAUUUUUAACCAAUUUAGACAGUUAUGUUUUCAAACACUGAUGGAGAUGUUGAUUUAACUUCCCCAAAAAAGAAGAAAAAGAAAAAACUUACCAUCUCAAAUCACACAGACCACUGAAAGAAUAUGUGGUUCACUGCUUCUUAGAUACAACAAGACCGCCUCGCCUAUUGUGCUUGGUCUUUUGCUUGCAACAGACGUUUCAUUCUGAAAUAUUUUCCAAGACGCUAACGUCUUGUGUUAGGGAAUGUCAACAUUUGCAGAGAGUGGCCCUGCUCUAAUCCGGCAGACUGUGGGAUAGAGAGAGGAUUAGGGGCUAGUUUGUUUUCCUGGUCCCCUGGAAUGUUCCUUUAGCAGUGCUUUUGUACCUGGGCCGGGCCCAAGGUCAUCCCUCUGUCUCCACGCAGCUCCUUUUGUGUCUUCCAGCAAGUCUCAACCACACAGAGUCAACACCGCUCCCUCCUCAAAAGCAGAAUGUGAGUGGAAUUUCAAUCCUUGUCGCAACACUCUCUAAAUGUUACUUACUUUUCUCAUUAAGCAAUUUGAGUCCCCCUCCCCACCAGCGCCAAUGUUGUGUUUGAGUAAAACGUUGAGGGAAAAAAGAUCAGCAUACCAGUGUAUCUCCCAGCUUGUCUGCAUCAUUCAUCACAGGUGCCCAAGGUCAUCCCUCUGUCUCCACGCAGCUCCUUUUGUGUCUUCCAGCAAGUCUCAACCACACAGAGUCAACACCGCUCCCUCCUCAAAAGCAGAAUGUGAGUGGAAUUUCAAUCCUUGUCGCAACACUCUCUAAAUGUUACUUACUUUUCUCAUUAAGCAAUUUGAGUCCCCCUCCCCACCAGCGCCAAUGUUGUGUUUGAGUAAAACGUUGAGGGAAAAAAGAUCAGCAUACCAGUGUAUCUCCCAGCUUGUCUGCAUCAUUCAUCACAGGUUUUGUGCCUGGUGUCUGAUUGAUGUCUGAUGGAUUAACUGACUCAGGUGGGCAGUGUUAUUGAGCUAGUCACUGCUUCAACUUGUGCCAAAGUUGAGCUUCAUUGCUUUCAAUUAUUUUAGAGCUUUACGUGAAUGGGCCUUUCUACAUCUCUACAUAAGCCCUUGUAGAAUGAGUUGAAUGGCCUUUCAGUCGUCUCCAUUCCCAUCUACAUCAUGCCUCACAUGUUAUCAGUACUUUACCAAUACUUGCAGUAAAAACUCUGGUGUUUCUUUCUUCACUAAGACCUUUUUGUGGCUAUUUUCUACAUGAAUCAUAUUUCUUCCAAGACUGUUCAGGUCUUUCAUGAGUACGUUUUGCUCAUCUAUACCAGGAGACUACAAAAUUAUUGAUUUUUAUAUUCAGUGCUCCCCUAACAUCUGUUAGGCCAACUGCCACGGGAACUGCCACGGGAAUGCACUAACAAUCAUGUCAAAGGUUACAUCGGAAAGAACAUUUUAAUUAACUUUAAUAUACUUGCGCAGGUUUCCGUUUUUUUAUUUUAGCUAAUGGUAUGCCAUUUUAAAAGCAAGCUGCUUUUUAUAUAGC